CGUAGGGUGCAAGCGUUAAUCGGAAUUACUGGGCGUAAAGCGUGCGCAGGCGGUUGUGCAAGACAGAGGUGAAAUCCCCGGGCUUAACCUGGGAACUGCCUUUGUGACUGCAUGGCUAGAGUGUGUCAGAGGGGGGUAGAAUUCCACGUGUAGCAGUGAAAUGCGUAGAUAUGUGGAGGAAUACCGAUGGCGAAGGCAGCCCCCUGGGAUAACACUGACGCUCAUGCGCGAAAGCGUGGGGAGCAAACAGGAUUAGAUACCCUGGUAGUCCACGCCCUAAACGAUGUCAACUAGUUGUCGGGUCUUAAUUGACUUGGUAACGCAGCUAACGCGUGAAGUUGACCGCCUGGGGAGUACGGUCGCAAGAUUA
rnacentral:rRNA from 1 species